UACGUAGGGGGCAAGCGUUGUCCGGAAUCAUUGGGCGUAAAGCGCGCGUAGGCGGCCCUGUAAGUCCGUUGUGAAAGUCAAAGGCUCAACCUUUGAAAGCCGAUGGAUACUGCAGGGCUAGAGUCCGGAAGAGGCGAGUGGAAUUCCUGGUGUAGCGGUGAAAUGCGCAGAUAUCAGGAGGAACACCAAUGGCGAAGGCAGCUCGCUGGGACGGUACUGACGCUGAGGCGCGAAAGCGUGGGGAGCAAACAGG
rnacentral:rRNA from 1 species